AUAGGAAAAAAGGGAGUUUUUGCCUUCCCGGACAGACGGCUUGGGUUCCCCCGCACGGACCUGGCCCCUCCGCGCUGGGGUGGAGGAGAGAGGACAGAGAAGUGGUGAACCUAACGACAGCGAGGCCGGAGAUGAACUCUCACAGCCUGCAGCCAGCGCCACAGCAUCAGCUAACGACAGCUCAACCACGAGAGAAAGCAACGAGUAAUGUGGGUCGAGACAGUCGACGUCCAACCAUGAACUGUGGGACUUCGGUCUAUAAAGGGAAAUCCACCUUUGUAGAACAAGAUAAGUACAACACAACGUUAAUGGGUUUGAACAAGUACACACCAGUGUUUUUGCCAGCUGAACUAAAGUUAACGACUCAUCUAGGUCUUAGAGAACACUUAAGAGUAAAAACAAAAAGAAUGCGUAAGAAAAGACAGACCCAUGCUGAAUUCAAAUGGAAAGCAACGGUAACCGAUACAGAAUUUCAUACAGAAUUAGAUACAGAAUUUGAGGUAAAUGUCUAUUACAAUACCAGGAAAUUAUGCGGAAAAAGUGUUAAAUAGGAAUAUAAAGUGUAUGGGGCAGACCAGUGUUCAAUCCUUUUAUACAUUAAGGACGAUGGUUUUGGCGUAGAAGUAAGAAUAGAGUCCCAUUGGGAUCCUGAGGACAAUUACAAAUACGACUUAACAAUAAAAAAUCCAGGUAAUGGUAAAGGAGGUACACAAAAUGGUGAUUUAGAGCGAAUAGGAGACAAGGAGAUGAUUGCUACAGUUCAAAUUGUUAAUGAUCAAAUUAGGAUUCAUGUUGAACCAGACAGUGAUAAAUAUGAUUUGGUUGAAAGAAACGUGAUUAUCUCUAGAUUGUUGCAAAAGGGUGACAGACGAAGGAUGUGUAAUUCGCAUGCUAAUGUGAGCCAUCAAUUAUCUAGUAUAAAUCAAGAAAACAUUAAUUGUAAAAUGACUGUUAAGAUUACAAAUUGUGGAUGGAUUAUUGAAGCAGAUGUUAUAGCCUUCCGUAUUGACAAAACAUACGAGUUGAAAUUUGAAGACAUCCCUUCAAGUGGAAAAGUUGAUUCAUCUAUAUUAUGGAACCUACCGAAAAAGAGGCUUUACCAAAAGAAAUCAUUUGUUUCCCCCCAACAACUAUGGCUUCUACAACUACUGUAGAAGUGAAGAAAUUACUGUCCCAAGUGCACAUGUGACUGUACCUACUUCAAUCACCACAUCAGGACCAAAUAAACCGACAACCUUAACAGUUAAGACAUUAACAGUUACAUCAGCAUCUACAAUCUUGACUAGCACAAUACAAAGUUCAAACAAUAACGAUAAAACUACACAGGUAUAUACAAAUAAAAAGGAAGUGCUACCAACAGAGGUUGAUAACAGUUUAGAAAAUGAAAAACCUACGGUGCCUCGACCUGAAAAUAGCAUAACCGAACCUCCAACAACCGCCACGGCUAAAGCAAAUCCACGGACAAUAGUUUCAACUGCAGUAGAACCCAAAACAGCAGUAGUUUCAAGUACAGUUAAAUCCACAAAGGAAGUUUUAAAAAGUACUAAACCUUCAUUAACAAGAUUAAUUACAACAGUACCUUCUCUGGUUGAGGUAACGUCAAAACCAGGACAACAACCUAAUAUUAGAUUUCAAAGAACCGGAUCCAAAACAGUAUGGAUGCUCUGAAAAAGAAGGAUGUGAGGAUUUCUCUGAAGGUUUAGAUCAAUUUUAUGAAAAACGCAAUCCAAAAGUAGCUAUACCAAGAGCAAUAAAUAAACUACAGGAUAUUAAAUGGCACGGAAUCAGACCAAGGGGAGAUCCUUUAUGGCAAAGAGCCUUACAUAACACAUGGUAUACAACAGCAUGGUAUACUGUCAGGGAGUUAACUAAAAAUGAUUGCUUAGUCUGUACUGUUGCUCCGGGAGCAGUACCUAUGGUUAUUCCAGAAAAAUACAGGUCAAAAGAAUGUGCAGUAGUGCAGCGUAAAAAUGUAGCAAUGGUGAGUUCACUUCAAGAGAAGACGCAGUGUAAUUUUUUAAAUUACCUAUGUGUGGUUUGAGUUGCAGACUCUUAUAUGGUUCAAGAAACUCUCAUCAAUACUUAGAAAAUGGAAAGGGUAUAAAUUAGAAUCAUUGUGUGCAGAAUUUAACUUUAAUACUACAGAUAAUGUUCCACCUACUGAUUAUGACAUAGAUUAUGAUGCAGACUACGAAUGUUUCGUUAGUGGAGGUUUUGAGGACAAUGAAGGAAUUAAUGUAGGAAACACCACUGUGAAAUGUAAUGUAACUUGGGUGUUAUCUUGGUUUAAGCAUGCAAAUGUAACACCAGUGUUUGCUACAAAGCCCGUUUGGUUUGAAAACCCAGAAUUUGUAGAAGAGGACUGUAAAAAUAUAACUAUGACUUUUCCCAAACUUUUCUUUUUAGGAGAUCAAACGUAUCCAGUGGCAGACAGUUACUGGAUGUGUGGUGAUGACAUGCUAAUGAACACUUUACCACUGAAGUGGAUAGGACUUUGUGCAUUAGUACGAAUGAAAGUACCGAUAACCUUAGUGUAUGAAGGGGUAAAAGAACUAGCUCAAAUGGAAACAGGUAAAACUAGGUCCCGUCGGAGUCUAGGAGAUUACGGACUAAAGGAAAAAGUUUAUUUAAAUCUUAUUGGUCAACCAAGAGGAAUUCCAGAUGAAUUUAAAGCACAACAUGAAGUUAAAGCAGGUUUUGAGUCUAUUUUGCCUCAGAUUACUAUUAAUAAAAAUGUUGAAUGGAUAAAUUACAUUUAUUAUAAUCAGCAGAGGAUGAUAAAUUUCACGGUGGAAGGAUUUAUGGCACUAGGAGACCAAUUACAUGAAACAAGUAGAAUGGCAAUACAAAACAGGCAAGCUUUAGAUGGGCUUCUAGCCAGCAAGGGAGGUGUAUGUCAUAUGUUUGGCAAUGAGUGCUGUACAUAUAUUCCCAUGAACACAGCUCCUAAAGGUUCGUUUAGGGUAGUAAUGGCUAAACUUAUGAAACUUAGAGAAGAAGUAAAAGAGAAUGCUGGAAGAAACAACUGGUCGUGGAAAAGUCUGGAAGAAAUUUUAGGAGAAUGGGGAGCAAUGGCUGCAAAAACAGGAAUAAUUUUGGUGAUAACGCUGAUUGUAUUCUUUCUAAUUGUGUGUUGUGUUGUGCCUGUUUUGAAAAGGUGGAUUGUGGGGACAAUGUAUAGAUGGAUGACAUCAGGCAGCAGCCAUCCGAAGGGCUGAUCCCCGGCCGCCUGGACACGUCCAUGGACUCAUGCGUGUGCUACAGACUCAUGCCACAUGGAAAGGAGCCCCGUGAUCGGGAUGAACUCUUUUUGUUUUGCUACGUGUCCAGGAACUCAUUCAAGCCAAGCACACAACUGAAGAUGACUAACCCUAUUAACCUUGUUUAAGUUACUCAAUAAAUAAAUAAACAAAAUACAAUACAAUGAAGCUUUGAUAGAUAAGGUAGCACAGGCGGCCGGUUAGUUUAGUUUAUACUAUCAUAACAUUAGAUUCUAACAUCCAUUUCGUUUUUUAAUCCUGCGUAUCAAUAUUAUUAGCAAGAUCAUUUACAUAUGUUGUUUGUUGUUUGUAUUAUGAUGUUUUGUUAUUGUAUCAUGCUUAUGUACUCUUUUUAUAUGACAAGUGCUGGAUGUCAUUGCGAGUAGCAUGGCUGACUUCCAAUUGAUGCCGUCGGUCAGGUGACCGAUGAUAACGGCGGAUGCUCAGAGGUAUAAGAGGUCCAUGAAAGACUUUUUCCCCGAGAAUGACACAUAAAUAAGUGAUAAUUAUCGGGGUUUUUUCACUUUCAUAUCUAAAUUGGAAAGAUGUUAUUGCAAAAGCAAUGACUGUUUUGCAUACGUGCACUCUCUCUCUGACUCUCUCUCUGUCUCUCUGUCUCUCUCUCUCCUCUAUCCAUUGGAAAUAUGUUAUUGAUUGUAAUCUGCACUUAUUACAUGACAUUUUAUAUCAGCACUUGUGUAGACACCAUGAUUACAUUAGUAUGUUAUCCAUUGGUUGUGUAAGAAAUUAGACUUUUUUACAUGUUUGUUAUUAUCACAGCUAGACUUGAUCAGUGUGGAGUCAGAUUUUCAAUAUAGAGGUCUUCUAGAUAUGUCACGCUGUAACGUGCCAAGGGAGGAUUUAUGGGAGUUCGGGUCAUUUUGACCUUUUUCCCUGGCUCUCGCCGAUGGAAGCAACAGGAAACCAUCUGGAGUCGUUAUUUACUAGGACUGUUCCAAAAUAUGUCAAGUAGCGGAAUUAAUCGCUCUGUUGUUGUACUUUUAGUGAUAAACACUUCCCAGAAUUUAAGCCCUGUUGCCAAUUGACGUCAAUAGCGUGUAACGCACACACACCAAUGGAGACACACAGACACUUGUGUUUAACGCACACACAUUAUGUUCUUUUAAAAAGACGACCAUUGUAUUUGAAUGUCAGAAUUCGCACCGGAAACCCGUUUGUACGUUUCUAGGCAUAAUAAAGACGAAUUCUCGUUGUUAAGACAAAGGAA